UUACGGCCACAUCACAUUGAACCACUGGACCCCGUACGAUCACCGAAGUUAAUCAAUAUUGAUCCUGGUCAUUACCUAAAUGGGUGACCGCUUGGGAAUACCAGGUGCUGUAAG